UUUUGCAGCCUAGCAGGGAAGGGGGCGGGAGGACAUCUCCCCGCCGCCCGCCUCUUAAUGUUAUCGGGGCAUGAUUUAAGGGCCCGGGGCGAGAUUUAAGGGGGUGGGAGGGGGCUUCAAGGCAGCAGCAGGGGGCCAGGGCUUCAAGGGGGCAGCCAUUUUUUAAAAUAGGAACAGCCAUCGGAGGAGCAAUUUCUUCAAUAAUUACGGCGGCAGUGUGUGGAAAGCGCGGGAGGGAAGUGUCCUGUAGCACCUCAAAAUAUGUCCCUGAGGUGGAUCAUUCACAGAUGGAUGCUUUCCCAUUCCCUAAGGCUGCAAGAUCUCUGCAGAGUGAGUGACUAUGGAAAUACCACUGGAAUUACCUAGGGAUCAGGUCUUAGUAUCUCAUAUUUGAGAAGUUCAAUUUUCUGCAAAUACCUCAGACCUUUGCAGCUGAAGCACACUGAAGAACUCUCCUCAUACAUCAGUGUUCUCUACCUCAUCAAAAGGUGUGGGCUGAAUACUAAUGCUACAAUACAAUCAAGCAAGGUGAAAUAGCUUGCCUGGAAACCCUCAGAAAAUAUGGGCUGGUGUUAGCUGUUGGUGUCAUAGAUCUGUCCCAGUAUUCAUCCUAUUGCACCUUUUCGCAAAUUGAAUGUCUCCUUGCCAAAAAGAAAAGUGAGAAAGGUGUUCUGCUCAUGCGUGGUGUGCGCGGAUGCUGCAACGGAAACUAUGCACGGAUGGAGAGCAGCGGCGGCGGUGGCCCGUGUGUGGGGGUGGGUGACGAUGAUGGCAGAGGACAGAGAAGACGAAGACGAGGACACCGAGGAUGAGGAGGACCCCCGCCAGCGCCACCUCCACCGCAGGGCUGAACUGGAUGGAGGGGGAGGUGGCGGGAGCAGGGCCCCCGGAGGCGGGAGCAGAGGCAUCGGCGUCGGGCUGGGCUCCGGGGGCGGCGACUCCUCCAAGCAGCCCUGCAUCCUGCUCAUGGGCCUGCAGCACAGCGGGAAAUCCUCCAUCCAGAAGAUGCGUGCCCAGGCAGGGAGGCAGGAGGCCAGCCCUCUCCCCGUGACCCCCCUGCUCGCCUCGGGAGGGCCUCGGCUAGAGGCUGCACCCUGUGGCCGGGCCUGGAGUUCAGCCCGCCUGCUUGCCUGCCUACCUACUGGUGGAGCCGCCCCAGGGGUUGAGGGAGUGGGGGGAGAGGCUUUCUCGGUCAGAGCCAGGAGACAGUGGUGAUUGGAUCUAAUUAGCCUUUGUGGCAGCAAAUAGACACGCGCCCUGCGUGAUUGGCUUCCAAGUGGCUGGUGGGGCCAAACAACUAGCAGAGGUGCAAAAAAGAAAAAAAGGAAGAAGAAGGAAAAAAAGUAGGAGCAUCUUCCCUCCAC